rfam:Cucumis melo, WGS project CAJI01000000 data, contig: 09943
AAAAAAGCAGGGCUCUAUUGUCUAUUUAUGAAUAGUGCUCUCGUAAAUGUCAGGGAAACUGAUUGUAUUGUUAUUGGGUGAACCUCUGUGGAACUGAUGGCUGAAGGUUCAGUAAAUGAUGCUACAUUU